GCAUGCGUUGUAUGCUUCGUGGUUUGCAAUAGAGUGCCUGCAGUGGGAAGUCGGUGACAAUCACUGCGAUAAACUGGUAGGCUUCAUGGGGUUAGCUCCCAGGUUGUCCAAUCUCCUGUUUGACGAGAAAUAACGUGGGCGAUACUCUCAUUUUCUGUUCAAAACGUGCUGCUAACCGCCCAAAUAUUUUGAAAGGUACCAAAAGAGAGAUCUGGUGAGGGAAAAAUUAUACACAAAAACAAAUGCCAAAGGAGUGUUAAGAAGUGAUCAAUUGCUUUUUGAACAUUGGAAAGGAGGGACGUAGCUGGAUUGAAUUUGAAACCGAAGUAGUUAAAAACUUUGAACAACAGUUUGAAGAAGACUAGAAAGAAGGUCUGCCACCUAACACAAAAUACUACUAGGUAUUCGGCAUCUUGUUGAUCUUUGAGGAAGACCAGGAGGUACCACAAUUAGGUAGUUGAAGAGAGUUUGGUUGUUG
rnacentral:sRNA from 1 species